AUAUUUUUCUAAAAACUGGAACGAUACAAAGAAGAUUAGCAUGGGCCCUGCCCAAGGAUGACACUCAAAUUCGCGAAGCGUUCUAUAUUUUUCUAAAGAGAGAAGAUUAGAAUGGCCACUG